UACGUAGGGUGCGAGCGUUAAUCGGAAUUACUGGGCGUAAAGAGUGCGUAGGCGGUUCCUUAAGUCCGCUGUGAAAUCCCCGGGCUCAACCUGGGAAUGGCAGUGGAAACUAGGAGACUUGAAUCUGGCAGAGGGGGGUGGAAUUCCACGUGUAGCAGUGAAAUGCGUAGAGAUGUGGAGGAACACCGAUGGCGAAGGCAGCCCCCUGGGCUGAGAUUGACGCUCAGGCACGAAAGCGUGGGGAGCAAACAGG
rnacentral:rRNA from 1 species